rnacentral:rRNA from 1 species
UACGUAGGAGGCAAGCGUUAUCCGGAGUUACUGGGCGUAAAGCGCGUGUAGGCGGCUCGGUAAGUGGGUCGUGAAAGCGCCCGGCUAAACUGGGCGAGGACGAUCGAGACUGCCAGGCUAGAGGGUGGUAGAGGGACAGGGAAUUCCGGGUGUAGCGGUGAAAUGUGUAGAGAUCCGGAGGAACACCAGUGGCGAAGGCGCUGUCCUGGGCCACCUCUGACGCUGAUACGCGAAGGCGUGGGGAGCGAACGGG